rnacentral:rRNA from 1 species
GACGAACGCUGGCGGCGUGCCUAAUACAUGCAAGUCGAGCGAAUCAAUAGGAGCUUGCUCCUGUUGAUUAGCGGCGGACGGGUGAGUAACACGUGGGCAACCUGCCUGUAAGACUGGGAUAACACCGGGAAACCGGUGCUAAUACCGGAUAAUCCUUUUCCUCUCAUGAGGGAAAGCUGAAAGUCGGUUUCGGCUGACACUUACAGAUGGGCCCGCGGCGCAUUAGCUAGUUGGUGAGGUAACGGCUCACCAAGGCGACGAUGCGUAGCCGACCUGAGAGGGUGAUCGGCCACACUGGGACUGAGACACGGCCCAGACUCCUACGGGAGGCAGCAGUAGGGAAUCUUCCACAAUGGACGAAAGUCUGAUGGAGCAACGCCGCGUGAGCGAUGAAGGCCUUCGGGUCGUAAAGCUCUGUUGUUAGGGAAGAACAAGUACCGGAGUAACUGCCGGUACCUUGACGGUACCUAACCAGAAAGCCACGGCUAACUACGUGCCAGCAGCCGCCGCGG